UCGACUCUUCUACGUAUCUUUAAUAUAUUCACAAUCACAUAGCAACCAGUACAUAUACGAACUCAGUUACAAAACAUAGCAGAAUAAUUCAUCAGUAAUUUCAUAAAUAAACAUAAAUAAAAACACAACUAUUAAUAAUAAAAUUUUGCUCGAAUCUUGCGCCUAAUUAUCAAUUAUUAAAUUAAUUAACUCGAAUCACCUACCGAGCAUCGUUAAUUAAUUGCUUAAACAAAUCAAACUACAUUUGUAGCACAAAUGCAUUUACUUGAUUUUCGUUUACGGAUCUACUUCGUAGAAGAGUUCCUAAAUGUCAAAUACAAUCAUGCGUAACCACCGAAAAGAUGCGACGUUGCAUGUCUCCACACGAUGUCACCAAAGCGUAUACACACCACCACUAAAAACUAUCAUGCACCGCCGCCGGACCACCGCAUGCCGCCACGAACCGCUACGAAUUGACCAGAACUCACCAUGAAAUGCUUCGUUCCCUCUGGUCCAGCGUAGAUAUGGUGAAAUUACACCGAAAGAAGCCGCGAAACAGCAAAAACAUGCGUCGAGUNNNN
rnacentral:lncRNA from 1 species